rnacentral:rRNA from 1 species
UGCCAGCCGCCGCGGUAAUACGGAGGGUGCAAGCGUUGUUCGGAAUUAUUAGGCGUAAAGCGCGUGUAGGCGGUUCGUUAAGUCUGAUGUGAAAAUCCGGGGCUCAACCCCGCGAAAUGCAGACGAUACUGGCGGACUAGAGACCGGUAGAGGCUAGCGGAAUUCCUGGUGUAGCGGUGGAAUGCGUAGAUAUCAGGAAGAACACCUGUGGCGAAGGCGGCUAGCUGGGCCGGGUCUGACGCUGAACCGCGAAAGCGUGGGGAGCAAACAGGAUUAGAUA